AACUCUACAAUGCAGGCAACUGCGAUAGGGGGACAUCGAGUGAUACCCACCUUGGGUAUCUGUCCCACCGUCUAAAAAACGGUGGUUAGCAAGGGCCGGGUAAGACCGGUGCCAGCCGCCGCGGUAAUACCGGCGGCUCGAGUGGUGGCCGAUAUUAUUGAGUCUAAAGGGUCCGUAGCCGGCUCCGUGGGUCCCCCGGGAAAUCCAGCGGCUUAACCGUUGGUCGUCCGUGGGAUACCGCGUUGCUUGGGACCGGGAGAGGUGGGAGGUACUCGGGGGGUAGGGGUGAAAUCCUGUAAUCCUCCGGGGACCACCGGUGGCGAAGGCGUCCCACCAGAACGGGUCCGACGGUGAGGGACGAAAGCUAGGGGCACGAACCGGAUUAGAUACCCGGGUAGUCCUAGCCGUAAACGAUGCCCGCUAGGUGUCACGGCGGUCGUGAAUCGCCGUGGUGCCGUAGGGAAGCCGCGAAGCGGGCCACUUGGGAAGUACGGCCGCAAGGCUGAAACUUAA
rnacentral:rRNA from 1 species